UUUGCCACAUUGCUACAUGCCCGACUGGAGACAGUACCCACCAGCACCUACUUUAUAUCGAGACAGAGGGUGUUUACUUCUGCAGCACUGAGACGAGUUGCAGGGAAGUGAAAAUAGGAUGAUUUAUCUGUCACUGUCUGGUGGAGCCGGGGGAUUUUCAUUAAUACCCCCACUCUGAAGCUUUCAUCGAGGGCUGAAACCCUAGAGCUGCGAGCGGUUACCUGAGCUUCAGAGAGAUGGCUCUCCGCAGGCCAGCUGCCCACCUGAGGAGAGCUCCCGGCUGGAGGAGAUCAGGAGACGAGUCCUGCUGGGAGGGCUUGAUCCCAGAGGGGGAGCGCUCACCUGGAGUCCCCCGCCCGACACGAACACCUCGGCCCCAGAGCGCCAUCGAGGGGGGUCAGCUCGACAGCUGGCUGGAGCACCUGCAGACCCUGCAGAGCCAGCUCAGAGCCCCAGAUCACGAUCAAGCGCUGGCUUUUAAUGAGCGGACAACAUCCAUGCCUGUUCUGGACAAGGAGCCGAGCGGACGUGCCUGGAGACAGAAGUGCUUCCCCUCCUUCAGCGCGGCCUCGUCUUCUUGCGGGAGCUCGAGCCUCUGUGAGAGCUCGCUGGGGAGCCAGGAGUCCCUGCAGACCGGGCUUAUUGGCUCUCCGGAGCACAGAGGAAACUGGGAGAGGGCUCAUGUGACGCAGACCCCCAGUAAGGAGCAAACUCAGCUCAGUUAUCUGGCUCCAGUCAAAAUUGGGUGGCUGCCAAUCCAAAGAAGAGUGAUGAUGGUGGAGGAUGCAAACAAGCAAGACCAAUAUAUGGACCAUGUGAAAUUGAAGCAACCCAUCACCCCAACAUUUCAGAAGACUCAAGCAACA